rnacentral:lncRNA from 1 species
AUAUAUUUGUUUUAAGUUUUAAAAAUUUAAGGUUUGCAUCUCUCUCUUUCAUGUGUGAAAUACCCACAUAUCGCCUUCAGCAAGGCUCCAAGCUCUUCAUUGAAUUACACAACUCCCUACACAAAAGCAUCCAUUCAUUUCUCUGCCAUUGGAAAGCAGCCAACUGGGCAGUGGAUAAAGGUGAAAGUCACUGAUGUUACCCAAUAGUUUGAGGGGGGAAAAAACAAGUAGAAGUCUAGAUGCAA